CACUAUUCUCUUUUUCAUACAACCCCCUGCCAGAGCUAACCUCUGCUGCAGUGCAGCAACACUGAUUGUUGAGCAAGGAAAUCCAAGAAAAGCAGAAGGUACCCGGGCGGCUUUCAGAGCUAAAAUUUUCUCGGAAGAGCAGUGAGAAGAGAGGACUGAAAAAUAGAUGAAGAAGAAAAUUUGGGUACAAUGUGGAAAAUAAACCUAACAAAGGCAGGCCAGGAAGCUUCCUCCAGCCAGAAAGAAUGUGAGAUCACAGCCUACCUGCCUCCCUCCCAAAACUUGGUAAGGUAUCAGAGCUGAGAAGAUCACUGCUGGUGACAGGUGCUUGAUUCAGCACAUCAUGAAAGCCUAGAAGACUCAGGGAAGUGACUCAAAGUCCCAAGAAAGAAGUUAUACUGAUGAAAGAACCACUUAAGGGAAUACAGACAGCUCUG
rnacentral:lncRNA from 1 species